UCUCCGUUGGUGAACCAGCGGAGGGAUCCUUACCGAGUUUACAACUCCCAAGCCCCAUGUGAACCUUACCAAACGUUGCUUCGGCGGGAUGCCCCGGGCGCGGGCCGCAAGGCCUCAGCCCCGGAACCAGGCGCCCGCCGGAGGCCCAAACCAAACUCUUGUUUUUGUAGAAUCUUCUGAGUGGCCUUUUAGGCAAAAAAUGAAUCAAAACUUUCAACAACGGAUCUCUUGGUUCUG
rnacentral:misc_RNA from 1 species